rnacentral:rRNA from 1 species
AGAGUUUGAUCCUGGCUCAGGACGAACGCUAGCGGCGUGGAUAAGGCAUGCAAGUCGAGCGGGCAUCUUCGGAUGUCAGCGGCAGACGGGUUAGUAACGCGUGGGAAGCUACCUCGUACUCAGGAAUACGCCGCCGAAAGGCGGUUUAAUACCUGAUGGUCCCGCAAGGGUAAAGAUUUAUCGGUACGAGAGGCGCCUGCGUCCUAUCAGCUUGUUGGUGAGGUAAUGGCUCACCAAGGCGAUGACGGGUAGGGGGUGUGAGAGCAUGACCCCCAACACUGGAACUGAGACACGGUCCAGACACCUACGGGUGGCUGCAGUCGAGAAUCUUCCACAAUGGACGAAAGUCUGAUGGAGCGACGCCGCGUGCGGGAUGAAGGCCUUCGGGUUGUAAACCGCUUUUAUGAGGGAAGAACUUUUGUGACGGUACCUCAUGAAUAAGGGGCUGCUAAUCACGUGCCAGCAGCAGCGGUAAUACGUGAGCCCCAAGCGUUGUCCGGAGUCACUGGGCGUAAAGCGUCUGCAGGCGGUUAUGUUAGUCGUGUGUUAAAUAUGCGGGCUCAACCCGUAUGCCGCGCACGAAACGGCAUGACUAGAGGGUGUGAGAGGUGAGUGGAACUUACGGUGUAGGGGUGGAAUCCGUUGAUAUCGUAGGGAACACCAAAGGCGAAGGCAGCUCACUGGCACAACCCUGACGCUCAGAGACGAAAGUGUGGGUAGCGAAUGGGAUUAGAUACCCCAGUAGUCCACACUGUAAAUGUUGAACACUAGCCGUGUGGAGUGUCGACCCUCCACGUGGCGAAGCUAACGCGUUAAGUGUUCCGCCUGGGAAGUACGAUCGCAAGAUUAAAACUCAAAGGAAUAGACAGGGACUCGCACAAGCGGUGGAGCAUGUGGUUUAAUUCGUCGAUAAGCGAAGCACCUCACCAGGGCUUGACAUUCAUACGACAGACUCGGGAAACCGAGUCCUCCUUUCAGGCGUAUGGACAGGUGUUGCAUGGCUGUCGUCAGUUUGUGCCGUGAGGCGCUCCCUUAAGUGGGAUAACAAACGCAACCCUCGUUGUCUGUUAUACGUGUCAGACAAGACUGCCGCGCACAACGCGGAGGAAGGCGAGGAUGACGCCAAGUCAGCAUGGCCCUUUGACGCCCUGGGCGACACACGUGCUACAAUGGCCGGCACAAUGGGUUGCCAAACCGCGAGGUGGAGCUAAUCCCAUCAAAGCCGGUCUCAGUUCGGAUUGGAGUCUGCAACUCGACUCCAUGAAGUUGGAAUCGCUAGUAAUCGCAGGUCAGCCACACUGCGGUGAAUACGUUCUCGAGUCUUGUACUCACCGCCCGUCAAGUCAGCGAAGUUGAUGGCACCUGAAGUCUCCCGGUCUGCCGGGGGCCCAAGGUGAAGUCAAUGACGAGGAUUAAGUCGUAACAAGGUAACC